AUGAACGCUGGCGGCGUGCCUAAUCCAUGCAAGUCGAGCGAACAGACGAGGAGCUUGCUCCUCUUACGUUAGCGGCGGACGGGUGAGUAACACGUGGCUAACCUACCUAUAAGACUGGGAUAACUUCGGGAAACCGGAGCUAAUACCGGAUAAUAUAUUGCACCGCAUGGUUCCAUAGUGAAAGACGGUUUUGCUGUCACUUAUAGAUGGAUCCGCGCCGCAUUAGCUAGUUGGUAAGGUAACGGCUUACCAAGGCAACGAUGCGUAGCCGACCUGAGAGGGUGAUCGGCCACACUGGAACUGAGACACGGUCCAGACUCCUACGGGAGGCAGCAGUAGGGAAUCUUCCGCAAUGGGCGAAAGCCUGACGGAGCAACGCCGCGUGAGUGAUGAAGGUCUUCGGAUCGUAAAACUCUGUUAUUAGGGAAGAACAAAUGUGUAAGUAACUAUGCACGUCUUGACGGUACCUAAUCAGAAAGCCACGGCUAACUACGUG
rnacentral:rRNA from 1 species